rnacentral:rRNA from 1 species
GACGUAGGGCGCGAGCGUUGUCCGGAUUUAUUGGGCGUAAAGAGCUCGUAGGCGGCUUGUCGCGUCGACUGUGAAAACCCGUGGCUCAACCAUGUGGUCUGCAGUCGAUACGGGCAGGCUAGAAUUCGGUAGGGGAGACUGGAAUUCCUGGUGUAGCGGUGAAAUGCGCAGAUAACAGGAGGAACACCGGUGGCGAAGGCGGGUCUCUGGGCCGAUACUGACGCUGAGGAGCGAAAGCGUGGGGAGCGAACAGG